AUCUUGCACAAUGGGGGCAACCCUGAUGCAGCGACGCCGCGUGAGCGAUGAAGCCCUUCCGGGCGUAAAGCUCUUUCGACCGGAACGAUAAUGACGGUACCGGGAGAAGAAGCUGCGGCUAACUACGUGCCAGCAGCCGCGGUAAAACGAAGGCACCAAGCGUUGUUCGGAGUUACUGGGCGUAAAGAGUGCGUAGGCGGUUUUCUAAGUUCGGUGUGAAAUCUACCGGCUUAACUGGGAGGGUGCGCCGAAGACUGGGAAGCUGGAGUGGUGGAGAUGCAGGCGGAAUGCCUGGUGUAGCGGUGAAAUGCGUAGAUAUCAGGAGGGAUUCCGGCGGUGUAGACGGCUUGAUAGACCAAAACUGACGCUGAGGCACGAAAGCGUGGGUAGCAAACA
rnacentral:rRNA from 1 species